rnacentral:rRNA from 1 species
GACGAACGCUGGCGGCGUGCUUAACACAUGCAAGUCGAGCGGAAAGGCCCUUCGGGGUACUCGAGCGGCGAACGGGUGAGUAACACGUGAGUAAUCUGCCCUUGGCUUUGGGAUAACUACCGGAAACGGUGGCUAAUACCGGAUACGACAACCGUCUGCAUGGGCUGGUUGUGGAAAGUUUUUUCGGCCAGGGAUGUGCUCGCGGCCUAUCAGCUUGUUGGUGGGGUAAUGGCCUACCAAGGCUUCGACGGGUAGCCGGCCUGAGAGGGUGACCGGCCACACUGGGACUGAGACACGGCAGACUCCUACGGGAGGCAGCAGUGGGGAAUAUUGGACAAUGGGCGGAAGCCUGAUCCAGCAACGCCGCGUGAGGGAUGACGGCCUUCGGGUUGUAAACCUCUUUCAGUACCGACGAAGCGCCGAUGAUGGUGGUGACGGUAGGUACAGAAGAAGCACCGGCCAACUACGUG